rnacentral:rRNA from 1 species
CGGUGAAAUGCGUAGAUAUCAGGAAGAACACCAGUGGCGAAGGCGGCUCUCUGGCCUAGAACUGACGCUGAAGCGCGAAAGCGUGGGGAGCGAACGGGAUUAGAUACCCCGGUAGUCCACGCCGUAAACGUUGUGUACUAGGUGUUAGUGCUUUAAGCACUAGUGCCGACGCUAACGCAUUAAGUACACCGCCUGGGGAGUACACCCGCAAGGGUUAAACUCAAAGAAAUUGACGGGGGCCCGCACAAGCGGUGGAGCAUGUGGUUUAAUUCGAUGAUACGCGAAGAACCUUACCAGGGCUUGAACUGUUUCUGACAGGUGUAGAGAUACACCCUCCUUCGGGCAGAUUCAGAGGUGCUGCAUGGUUGUCGUCAGCUCGUGUCGUGAGAUGUUGGGUUAAGUCCCGCAACGAGCGCAACCCUUACUCCUUGUUGCUAUCAGGUCAUGCUGGGCACUCUAGGGGAACUGCCGGUGAUAAACCGGAGGAAGGUGGGGAUGACGUCAAAUCAGCACGGCCCUUAUGUCCUGGGCUACACACGUGCUACAAUGGCCGGUACAAUGAGUUGCGAUGCCGCGAGGUGGAGCUAAUCUCAAAAAACCGGUCUCAGUUCGGAUUGCAGUCUGCAACUCGACUGCAUGAAGCUGGAAUCGCUAGUAAUCGGAGAUCAGCACGCUCCGGUGAUACGUUCCCGGGCAUUGUACACACCGCCCGUCACACCAUCCGAGUUGGCAGCACCACGAAGUGGCUGAGCUAACCGUUUACGGAGGCAGGUUACUAA